rnacentral:rRNA from 1 species
AUGGCAGCGCCGUCGUGGUCAUCUUGCUGCGCCUCCACCUCCACCCGUCCUCUGCCUAGCCCUCCCGCGAGCAGCAAGGGCGGGAACCCAUGGCGGGCAAGCAGCGGCAGGAGGAGCGCCAGCGGAGGGAAGAGGCAGCAGCAGCUGUCCAUCCGCGCGGUGGCCGCGCCGUCGUCGGCGGUGGACUACUCGGACACCGGCGCCGGCGCCGCCGACGUCCCCUCGCUGAAAAUCAAGCUGCUGAGCGCGGUGGCCGGGCUGAACCGGGGCCUCGCGGCGAGCCAGGAGGACCUGGACCGGGCGGACGCGGCGGCGAGGCAGCUCGAGGCGGCGGCGCCGGCCCCCGUGGACCUCGCCAAGGACCUCGACAAGCUGCAGGGCCGGUGGAGGCUGGUCUACAGCAGCGCCUUCUCGUCGCGGACGCUCGGCGGUAGCCGCCCCGGCCCGCCCACCGGCCGCCUGCUCCCCAUCACCCUCGGCCAGGUGUUCCAGAGGAUCGACGUGGUGAGCCAGGACUUCGACAACAUCGUGGAGCUCGAGCUCGGCGCGCCGUGGCCGCUGCCGCCGGUGGAGGCCACGGCCACGCUGGCACACAAGUUUGAGAUCACCGGGAUCGCGAGUAUCAAGAUCAAUUUCGACAAGACGACGGUGAAGACGAAUGGGAACCUGUCCCAGCUGCCUCUGCUGGAGGUGCCCCGCAUCCCGGAUAGCCUCCGGCCGCCGGCGUCCAACACCGGGAGCGGCGAGUUCGACGUGACCUACCUCGACGACGACACCCGCAUCACCCGAGGGGACAGGGGGGAGCUCAGGGUGUUCGUCAUCGCAUGA